rnacentral:rRNA from 1 species
CUGAGAGGGUGACCGGCCACAUUGGGACUGAGACACGGCCCAGAACUCCUACGGGAGGCAGCAGUGGGGAAUAUUGCACAAUGGGGGAAACCCUGAUGCAGCGACGCCGCGUGAGCGAUGAAGUAUUUCGGUAUGUAAAGCUCUAUCAGCAGGGAAGAAAAUGACGGUACUGACUAAGAAGCCCCGGCUAACUACGUGCCA